GUAUGGGGCGAGCGUUGUCCGGAAUUAUUGGGCGUAAAGGGUACGUAGGCGGUUUUUUAAGUCAGGUGUGAAAGCCUGAGGCUUAACCUCAUUAUAGCACUUGAAACUGGAAGACUUGAGUGAAGGAGAGGAAAGUGGAAUUCCUAGUGUAGCGGUGAAAUGCGUAGAUAUUAGGAGGAAURCCGGUGGCGAAGCGCGACUUUCUGGACUUUUACUGACGCUCARGYRCGAAAGCGUGGGGAGCAAACAGGAUUAGAUACCCUGGUAGUCCACGCCGUAAACGAUGAWUGCUAGGUGUUGGGAGUCAAACUCUCAGGCUGCCCGAAGCUUAACACAUUAAGCAUUCCGCCUGGGGAGUACGGWGGCAACUCUG
rnacentral:rRNA from 1 species